rnacentral:rRNA from 1 species
UACAGAGGUCUCAAGCGUUGUUCGGAUUCAUUGGGCGUAAAGGGUGCGUAGGUGGUGAUGCAAGUCUGGUGUGAAAUCUCGGAGCUCAACUCCGAAAUUGCACCGGAUACUGCGUGACUCGAGGACUGUAGAGGAGAUCGGAAUUCACGGUGUAGCAGUGAAAUGCGUAGAUAUCCUGAGGAACACCGGUGGCGAAAGCGGCGCGCUGGAUCCCUUCUGACGCUGAGGCGCGAAAGCCAGGGGAGCAAACGGG